rnacentral:rRNA from 1 species
AUUGAACGCUGGCGGCAGGCCUAACACAUGCAAGUCGAACGGAGUGGCGGCCGGGUGCGUAAUGUCUGGGAAACUGCCUGAUGGAGGGGGAUAACGUCCGGAAACGGGCGCUAAUACCGCAUACUAUCAGAUUAGCCUAGGUCGGAUUAGCUAGUUGGUGGGGUAAAGGCCUACCAAGGCGACAAUCCGUAACUGUUCUGAGAGGAUGAUCAGUCACACUGGAACUGAGACACGGUCCAGAAUCCUACGGGAGGCAGCAGUGGGGAAUAUUGGACAAUGGGCGAAAGCCUGAUCCAGACAUGCCGCGUGUGUGAAGAAGGUCUUCGGAUUGUAAAGCACUUUAAGUUGGGAGGCGUUACCAACAGAAUAAGCACCGGCUAACUUCGUGCCAGCAGCCGCGGUAAUAC